AUUGUGCGAAACGUCAGGAAUUUUUUCUUCCUAAUUUUAAACAAUACUCCUUUUAUCUUUUUACCUUGAAACAAAAAAGGUUUUGAUAAUGUGAAUCAGAAGAGGAUUACUGUAUCUCACUUUUCUAAAAGGACACCAUUUUUCCUACAAACAAAGAUAAGCACAUGGACCUUUGGAGACUUGGUGGGGAUGGUAUGGAAGAGCUCUUUUCCGUGUGAGAUAUCCAUUUCUCUGGGUUGGUGAGUACUCCCAAAAUCACUGUGUGUACACAUGAAGAUUUGAACAUUUGGAGUGACUUGAAGUGGAACCACGAUCAGAAUUGAACCAUAAAGGAGUGAUCACUUUUGAAUGGAGUGUUUUUCUCCCACUUGAGUGGGGGGUUUGUUUUUUUUCUCACCUUUGUGUGUUUUUAUGGAGUGACACCUAACCUAAAGUGGUAAUUUCCUACGGAUCUGGGGUAACCACCAGAUGGCAACGGACAAUUAUUUGUUGUUGGAGUAAAUGAGUUUUGGGAGUUCCAGCAAGGGUUCCUGGUUUUGAACCUUUACCAUGGCAGUGCCACUACAUAACCGUUUCCAGGCUCUAGUUAGUUUAAAUGAUGAGGGGAUGGUAAGACAGGUGAACAAAUUGGCGGCCUUUAUUAAACCCUCCUCGCCUAACCAACAGACCCUGGCAAAGGCCCAUUCCAGUUAUGCGGCUGCGGUGACCAGCAAGUCACCAACUGGUAGGGUCUCAAUGGGAGCCCAGGCCCACAGGGACUUUGGAAUAUGCAGGAAUAUCCCAGGGGGCCAGAGUGAUACUUCGGUCCUGCAAAGAGUGGCGGGACUAGCUUCAGACUUACCCCAAUAAUCAGGAAGAGAACGGGGAUACCGAAUCCCCAAACUCAGCGACCAAGAAACAAUUUGGCCGAGCCUAAAGUCCCAGCCUUGACCCUUCCAGGUUCACAGCAAGAGGACCAUCAGGGUAAGGUAGCAAUGGCAAAUGGAAAAGACACGGGCCCUGGGACAGAACCAAUACUGGAACCUGUAGAAAAGGAGAAACUUUUUUAUCCCACAUGUCAUUCUAGAACUGAAAGGAAAAUAAAUGAUUGGAGUAUU